GGAUGAACGCUGGCGGCGUGCCUAAUACAUGCAAGUCGAACGCACAGCGAAAGGUGCUUGCACCUUUCAAGUGAGUGGCGAACGGGUGAGUAACACGUGGACAACCUGCCUCAAGGCUGGGGAUAACAUUUGGAAACAGAUGCUAAWACCGAAURAAACUUAGUGUCGCAUGAYACRAAGUUAAAAGGCGCUUYGGCGUCACCUAGAGAUGGAUCCGCGGUGCAUUAGUUAGUUGGUGGGGUAAAGGCCUACCAAGACAAUGAUGCAUAGCCGAGUUGAGAGACUGAUCGGCCACAUUGGGACUGAGACACGGCCCAAACUCCUACGGGAGGCUGCAGUAGGGAAUCUUCCACAAUGGGCGAAAGCCUGAUGGAGCAACGCCGCGUGUGUGAUGAAGGCUUUCGGGUCGUAAAGCACUGUUGUAUGGGAAGA
rnacentral:rRNA from 1 species